AAAACUAUACAAAAAAAAUGUUGGCUAAGAUGUAAAAAUUAAUAGUAAGAAUAUCUUCAAAUACAUUAAGGGUAAGUAAAAUAUUAGGAUGGGAGUGUAGGGCUUUUGAGGGAUGAUACAGGAAGGCUAAUAUUUGAUGAUUAUAGGAUGACUGAGUUAUUAAAUUCUAGUUUUCUUCAGUUUUUACAGAGGAAGAUUUAAGUAA